CAGAAAUGUCCUGUGGACUCCCCACGGCACUAAGCCUAAAAUCCAAAGUCCUUACCCUGGGAAGGCGCUGCAGGAAACUCUCUGAUCUCAUCACCUUCUCCUCUGCCCGCUGCGUCCUCAACAUGACAGCCAUGGCCCUGCUUCAGGACUUUUGAGAGAUGCUUCCGGAGGCCGGAGACUGAGCCUGUCCUGUUCUGUCCUGCGUCCCUGGCACCUGGAAUAGGGCCCAGCACACAGUAGAUGGAGAAACUGAGGCCCAGAGAGGGGAAGCGAUGUGUCUCAGGUCACAGAAAAAGCUAGCGACAGACAAUGGACUCAAACCCACGGCACCGUCUGGGCUUUUGCCUCUCUUCUCGGCCCGUCCUUCUGUCCCGCCCACCCUUCCCUCCCACGGGCCUGCAGCCAAUCUUUCCCAAGUGCCACUUUGGGCCAGCCUGGUGCCCUGGGCCCUGGGCUUCCUGCCCUGGAAGCUCAGGCUGCCUGAGGCUAUGUCAUUGCCACUUCCUCCUGUCAGACCUCCAGAGCUGCCUGCCCCUCCUCCCCACACCCUGUCCCGGCCACAGACUCUGCUACUCGUUUAAAAAUCCUGAUGCCCAGGUUGCUCCCCAGACCAAUGAGAUCAGAAUGUCUGGCAGGGGCGGUGGGGGGGGGGGGGGGGUGGUCCAGGCAUCAGGGUUUUUUUUUUAAGAUGUCUGGGUGAUUCCAUUUGUAGCAAAGUUUCGAAACCUCUGUUUUAGCCUUGAUAAAUGGCACCUCCACCUCCUGUUCCUUGGCCCCUAGGCUGCAGAUAUUCUUUCUCGGGAUCUACUUUCUGGAUGCCUGGGCCUGGGCCCCAGGACAGUUCUCAGCUGGGCAAUCCCAACUCCUUCCUGCUCCUGCCCUUUGCCCAACAGGUCUCCGGUCUGCCGAGACUGCCUGUUCUGAUCUGCCUCACCACUGCCAGGAACUCACUAAAUAUUUGUUGUUAAUGAUGUUGAUAAAUAUUUGCUGUUAAUGACCUCAGUCUGACCAAGAGGAUCCUUGAUGUAGAAGAAAGAAAAGGGCUUUUUUUUGGUCUUCUAUGUGGGACGCUGCCACAGCAUGGCUUGAUGAGUGAUGCGUAUGUCCGCGCCCAGGACCUGAACUGGGGAAGCCCAGGCUGCGGAAGCAGAGCACAUGAACUUAACCUUUUGGCCGUGGGGCGGGCCCCAAGAAAAGGGCUUUGAGAUUUGCCUUUUCUGGACAUUUCAGAUCAAUGCAAUUGUGCAGCACGCGUGUCUUGCACCUGGCUUCUUUCCCUCAACACCAUGUUUCUGAGGCUCUUCUAUGUUGCAGCGUGUGUCAGUACCUUGUUCUUUUUUAUGGCCAAACCAUAUGAUAUUGCAUGGAUACACGGUACCACAUGUUGCUUACCUUUUCAUCAUUGAAAGAGCACUCUGAUCAUGUUGGACCACAGAGAAGACUGAGGGAAGGGACAAUACCUAAUUCAUCUCCCUUUUCCCAGGACCGAGCAGAGAGCCAGGCACAGACUAGAUGCUCCGUGUGGUAGCCACUAGUGCUGGCCACCAAAUAUUUCUUUCUUCUCCUGUUGCACUUCCUUGCUCCUUCAAGUUAGUUGUGGCCAAGUGACUUGCUUUCAUCAACAAAAUGUGAAUGGAUGUGAUAUGCGUCACUCCUGAGCAGAAACUUUAAAAGUCAGUGAGCAACUUAACCAUACUCUUAAUCUUGGAGGAGGUGGCUGGCUGCACCAUCACACUGGACCCUGCAGUGAGAAUGACAAGGACAUGCCACUCUAUAGCCAAUUGACAUGUAGAGUGAGCAAGAACUACAGGCUGAUUUAAGCUGCUUAGAUAUUGGCAUCGUUUGUUACUGCAGCAUAACCUAACUCAUCCUGACUAUUAUGUGGAUAAAUGUUUGGUGAAAAAAAUGAAUGGAACUAAAGAGCAGAACAUUAAAUUCUCUGUCUUUUCUGAUUAAAACUAUGAAAAACAAUGUCGGAAUAUGGGCUGUAAACUUAAGGAAAUGAGGAAAUUAAAGCCAGCUAGA
rnacentral:lncRNA from 1 species